UCUGUUUCUUGUUGGAGUAAGUAGACUGGGCAGAUGGAAACUUCGAGUUCGUACGUCAGUUGCAGAAACGUCACAACUCAAAAACUUGAUUCAUCAGUAACGAAAAAUUAAAAGUGUAGCUUAAAAUCUUUAAAUUACUAACCUGUUGACUUGACAGAGAAGCUGCCAACAGUAAAAUGCUUUUCUACAUCGUUUAAUAUAGUGAUUUCGGAUGCAGAGAUUCGAAGACGGGACGAGAAUUCAUUUGCCAUGUAUAGGAAGGUUACUCAGAAUUUAGAUUUAGUGUUGUCUUACAUCGACACAAGUCAUAUUUUGCACUUUUGAGGUUGGAACAGGUGUUGACUUACCGAGUGGGCGAAGCUAUUCUGAAAAUGCCUCGAACUUUCUUGUAAUGGUUACUCCGAAAAAGCAAUUUCC